rnacentral:rRNA from 1 species
UAAGACGUAGGGGGCGAGCGUUAUCCGGAUUCACUGGGCGUAAAGGGCGCGCAGGCGGCUACGUAAGUCCGGCGUGAAAUCCCACGGCUCAACUGUGGAAUUGCGUCGGAUACUGCGUUGGCUUGAGGACGGUAGAGGCUUCUGGAACUAGCGGUGUAGCGGUGAAAUGCGCAGAUAUCGCUAGGAACGCCGGUGGCGAAGGCGGGAGGCUGGGCCGAUCCUGACGCUGAGGCGCGAAAGCUAGGGGAGCGAACCGGAUUAGAUACCCGGGUAGUCCUAGCCGUAAACGGUGGGUGCUAGGUGUGGGGGUCGCAAGACUUCCGUGCCGCAGCUAACGCAUUAAGCACCCCGCCUGGGGAGUACGGCCGCAAGGCUA